AGUUAACCAACCAGUCUUAGAUUCUUUGUUGAAAUGUGUAUGGAAUCCAUAUAAAGGUUACUAAGACGAUGACAACACAAUGACUACAAAAUCCGACAAGUCCUUUAAAUGACCCACCCACUCCCUGACUGCUCCUGACAAAGACUGACAGAAAAGGCCUCCAUCGACCCCACCACUGAUGGAUGACAUCAGUGACACUACCAUCAGGGCUCAGAAGUCUUCCUCAAGAAAUGAUGCAGGUGUUUUGCUGUUAAAGGAAUCCUCGUGGAUCAUCUUGUUUUUGUCCUGGAUUUCAGCAUUCAUAGGAUCCCCAUCGACCAACGGAAAAGCCCUCAUCGCCCCGACGACGGUGGAAAAGACGGUGGAUGUGACCCUACCAUAGGAGCAGUCUUCCUCAGGAAAUGUUGCAGGAUUAAACCUGCACCCAUCCUGUUGUCCUUCAGAAAUCCUCCUGGAUCAUCACCCCAAUGACGAUGGAAAAGGCCUUCAUCGCCCCCUGUUGAUGGAUGACCUUAGUGACCCUACCAUCGGGUUCACCAGUCUUUCUUAAGAAAUCUUGCAGUAGACCUCCUGGAUUAUCGCCCCAAAGACAAUGUAAAAGGCCCUCAUUGCCCCCAGGCUGAUGGAUGACCUUAGUGACCCUACUAUCGGGGCUCAGAAGUCUUCCUCAAGAAAUGCUGCAGGAAUCCUUGUGGAUCAUCUAGUUUUCAUCCUGGAUUUCGCCCUUCAUUGGACCCUCAUCGACCGCCAGAAAAGGCCGUCAUCGCCCUGACGACGGUGGAAAAGACUCAGUGCCUCCCUCGCUGAUGGAUGACUUUAGUGACCCUACUAUAGGAGCAGUCUUUCUCAAGAAAUGCUGCAGGAAUCCUCGUGGAUCAUCUUGUUUUUGUCCUGGAUUUCAGCAUUCAUAGGACCCCCAUCGACCAACAGAAAAGCCCUCAUCGCCCUGACGACGGUGGAAAAGACGGUGGAUGUGACCCUACCAUAGGAGCAGUCUUCCUCAGGAAAUGUUGCAGAAAUCCUCCUGGAUCAUCGCCCCAAUGACAAUGGAAAAGGCCCUCAUCACUCCGACUGAUGAAUGAUCUUAGUGACCUUACCAUUGGGUUCAGCAGUCUUUUUCAAGAAAUGCUGCAGGAAUCCUCCUGGAUCAUCUUGUUUUUGUCUUGGAUUUUGCACUUCACCGCCCCACAUUGGCCAACAGAGGAAAAGGACUGAACUUGAAACAUUUAUCAAAUCAACCUCAGUUUUUACCAAAAACUCGAUGAGUCUUCAGCUUGGUACUUUGGCCCCAACUAGACAUUGCUUUUUUUUUAUGGACAAUUUUGUUUAGCAACUUCAUAAUUUUAUGUGUUUUUUUUUUUUCUUAGACUGGUUUAUUGUGAUCUGUCAUUUAUGCUGCUGUUUGUCAUUUUCUGUGUUUAUUUUAGUUUUUUCAACUGUUUUUGUCUUCUCCGUUAUUUUUCUCCGAGGUUUCUUCCUGCUACGGGGAAGUUCUUCUUCUCCACUGUCACUACAUGCAUGCUCUGUGUGAG